UACGUAGGUCCCGAGCGUUGUCCGGAUUUAUUGGGCGUAAAGCGAGCGCAGGUGGUUUAUUAAGUCUGGUGUAAAAGGCAGUGGCUCAACCAUUGUAUGCAUUGGAAACUGGUAGACUUGAGUGCAGGAAAAGAGAGUGGAAUUCCAUGUGUAGCGGUGAAAUGCGUAGAUAUAUGGAGGAACACCGGUGGCGAAAGCGGCUCUCUGGCCUGUAACUGACACUGAGGCUCGAAAGCGUGGGGAGCAAACAGG
rnacentral:rRNA from 1 species